rnacentral:tRNA from 1 species
GAGGAUUUAGCUCAAGUGGUAGAGUGCAUGCUUAGCAUGUAGGAGAUUCUGGGUUCAAACCCCAGUACCUCCU